rnacentral:rRNA from 1 species
AGUGAACGCUGACGGUAGGCCUAACACAUGCAAGUCGAACGGCAGCACAGGAGAGCUUGCUCUCUGGGUGGCGAGUGGCGGACGGGUGAGGAAUACAUCGGAAUCUACUUUUUCGUGGGGGAUAACGUAGGGAAACUUACGCUAAUACCGCAUACGACCUACGGGUGAAAGCAGAGGAUCUUCGGACCUUGCGCGAGUGAAUGAGCCGAUGUCGGAUUAGCUAGUUGGCGGGGUAAAGGCCCACCAAGGCGACGAUCCGUAGCUGGUCUGCGGGGAUGAUCAGCCACACUGGAACUGGGGAACGGUCCAGACUCUGACGGGAGGCAGCAGUGGGGAAUAUUGGACAAUGGGCGCAAGCCUGAUCCAGCCAUACCGCGUGGGUGAAGAAGGCCUUCGGGGUGUAAAGCCCUUUUGUUGGGAAAGAAAUCCAGCUGGUUAAUACCCGGUUGGGAUGACGGUACCCAAAGAAUAAGCACCGGCUAACUUCGUGCCAGCCGCCGCAGUAA